CUGCUUCAACAGCAGAUAUAGAGGAACUGGAAUAACAUAGCAAAGAUUAGCAUGGUCCCUGCCCAAGGAUGACACACAAUUUAUGAAUUAUUUUAUAGGUUU